UACGGAGGGUGCAAGCGUUGCUCGGAAUUAUUGGGCGUAAAGGGUAGGUAGGUGGUCUCAUUUGUCUGGGGUGAAAGCCUUGGGCUUAACUCAAGAAGUGCCCCAGAAACGGUGAGACUGGAGUCCUGGAGAGGGUCGUGGAAUUCCCGGUGUAGCGGUGAAAUGCGUAGAGAUCGGGAGGAACACCAGAGGCGAAAGCGGCGACCUGGACAGGCACUGACACUCAACUACGAAAGCGUGGGGAGCAAACAGG
rnacentral:rRNA from 1 species